rnacentral:rRNA from 1 species
UACGUAGGUGGCAAGCGUUGUCCGGAUUUACUGGGCGUAAAGAGCGCGCAGGCGGUCGUUCAAGUCGCGUGUGAAAGCCCCCGGCUCAACUGGGGAGGGUCACGCGAUACUGAUCGACUCGAAGGCAGGAGAGGGAAGUGGAAUUCCCGGUGUAGUGGUGAAAUGCGUAGAUAUCGGGAGGAACACCAGUGGCGAAGGCGACUCCUGGCCUGUUCUUGACGCUGAGGCGCGAAAGCUAGGGUAGCGAACGGG